rnacentral:tRNA from 1 species
CACCCAGUAGCUCAGUGGUUAGAGCGCUGGCUUCGCAAACCAGAGGACCGGGGUUCGAUUCCCCGUCUGGGUGG